GGGGGGGGGGAAGAUGUCACUUUCUCCGCGGACAGGCGUCGCUUCCAGCUCUGACAGGAGCUGCGGCUCGGAAGGUGAGAGGUCCCGGCGCUGGAAGAGCUGCUGUGGCUUCUGACCUGUGGGCCCUUCCUCACUUUCCCCGUGAAUUCUCCGCCGUGUCUGUCUCCCAGUGUCCGGGGUCCCACCGAGUAUACAGUAGGAUGUCCACAGCUGCUUCCUUCUCCCCAGGUCUAACCCCCAAAGCCCAGAGAUUUCUGGAUCCAAUCUUCCUUCCCGGCACCCCCAAUCUCAGCCCGUGUUCACCUCCCCCGCCCCAGUUUUGGCUUCUCUGGCCCCUCUGCUUCUUCCACCUCCUUCCUUCUCCUCUCCCUGCCUCCUGCUGGACCCCCUCCGCAACCUCUGUGGCCCCUUGGAGCCUGCCUCCUAGGCCCCUUCAGGUCUUGCGAUAUCACAACCCAGUGUGAGGAUCAGUUGGAACGAGAGGAAGCUCCUUGGACUCCAGAGGGAGAAGGUUCCCCCAGGGCAGCUGGGGGUGGUGGUGAUUGCGUUACUAGCCCUGAAAGCAAGGAGCCAUUUCCCAAGCAGGACACUUCUAUGGAACAGUCACCCCUGGAGACCCACUCAUGGAGUGAUUUGUCUCUAACCUAAGAGAAGCCUGGGAAUAUGUGGUGUUGACUUAGAGAAGCUGCAUAUCAAGGAAGACAAAUGUUCUCGGAAGUUCAAGGUCGGCCAGAGAAAUACUUCUGAUCAAGUGGAUGGGACUCACGCUAGCACAAAGUUAUAUGAAUGCAAUGAUUGUGGGAAAGCUUUCACUCAGAGUUCAUCCCUUACUUUCCAUCUUUGGAUUCAUUCUGAAGAGAAACCAUUUGGAUGUGGUGACUCUGGGAAGGCAUUUUGCCUGAACAAACAGCUUGUUAGACAGCAGAAAAUUCAUACUGGAGAGAAGCAGCCUUAUGAAUGGGAAGACCUUUCUCCAGACUACAGAACUUAAUCAACAUGGGAGUAUUCAUGCUAGAGAAAAACUAUAUAAGUGUAAUGAAUAUGGGAAGAUCUUCACCGAAGUUCAUCUUUUCUUUCCCAUCAGGAUCCAUACUGGAGAGAGACCUUCUGAAUGUAAUGAAUAUGGCAGAGCCUUUAGCUGGAGAAUUAAUGUAUCAUCCAGAAUUCACCCCAGAGAGAGACCUUAUGUAUGCCUUGAAUGGGGACAGGCUUUGGCCUGAGGGUGAGCUUACUCCAGCCUGGAGCAUUCACCUUGGACAGAAACCAUCUGAGUGUGGGAAGGCCCAACUCCUCCCUUAUUUCCCAGCUCAGGGUUCACACUAGACAGGAGCUGUUUGAAUGUUGGGGAGACUCUUUUCUCCAGAGUAUACAACUCCCUUGACAUCAGGUGACUCAUGUUUAAGGGAGAGCCUGCUGACUGUCAUGCAAGGAUGUUGGCCACUGCAGGGAAGGCAGAGACUCAGAGCAAGGGCCUUCUUCCUACUCUGCUGCAUGCGACUUCACUCAGCUGCCUCCGAUCCCUCUUGGGCUCCUUGGCUCCUAGGAGGCAGACCAUUUCCUCCACUCCUGCCUUCCCUGCUUGGACUUCCUCCUGGUGCUGCCCUCUUCUCUCUCCUUCCUGUUUCCUAUCAUGAUUGGGUGAGAAAACUGGCAGGGGCUCCCUGGCUGUCCUUAGUGCCAGCCUUCUGAUUCCAGACCACUCCACGGUGCUGAAUAAAUGUCCGCUGGCCUGGUGGGUUCUCCCUGGGGCCCAUCAUUUCUGUUAACCCUAAUGCUGCACUUCGUGCCAGUGUAAGACGUGUAAACAGCUGGCUUUUAAUUAAUGCGCCCCUAGAUGAGAAAGGCUUCAUAGCUGCCAACCUCUAGGCAGGGCAUGAAUGCUCAUACCUUUUUAAACCCUUGUCUUUGGACAGGAGGAUUGAGGGGAGGUAGGAAGGUAGGGGGAGACCACCACGCCCUCUACAGGCCUCUGCCUUGCUCCUUGUUCUCUGGGCAUGCGCAUCCUUGUGACCAGGUUGCUGAACUACAUUUCCCAGAUCAGCCAAAGAUUGGAGGAGGGGGUGGGGCCGUGUGAUGUCAUUUCUGCUCCUUGCUGCUUCCGCCAAGGCUUUUGAAGGCUGUCAAUUCCUGGGCUCUCUCCUCCUUGAGCUAGGAAGAAAGAGAACAUUGUACAUGGCAACAGGAAGAUUAUACCAUGAUCACUUCUGAUGGACGCAGCUCUUUCCAACAUUGAGGUGAUUCAGGCCAGUUCCAAUGGUCUUGUGGUGGAGAGAGCCAUCUGCACUCAGAGAGAGGAUGACUGUCUGUUCACCUGCUGACCUGUACCAAUUGUGAUUAAUCUUAGUAGGCACCAUGACUUAGGAUGGCUGUUCAAUAAGAAGAACCAAAGGCAAUGAAUUAGAUGUAAGAAACUGGAAUAAAACACAAUUGUAACAUUUUAUAAUAUACCCUCCUGGUACAUUCAUGAUCUGGAUUCUAAUGCCAUUUCUUAAAACAGUAUCUGCAGUUAGAAACAUCUGUGGGUAAUCCAAACAUGCCUGUAUGGGUCUGAAACAUCAUGGAAUCCUAUAUCUGAGAUGUAAAAAUUUGUCCCAUCCUAAGUCCCAAGGAGACCCAUCCAGACACUGGAUAAUUUGGAGUCAUUCAACAAUCAGUUCCAAGUUUUCCCCAAACCAAUGGGCCCCCAAAUCCUCUGGGGGCAGGGGCAAUGAUCUCAUCUUCUGAAACUUCUUCCUGCUGAGAAUGGGCAUAGAGCUGAAUCACCUGCAGGGUCCCAUUCAUUUAUGGAGGGGGUGUAAGCUGGAACUGAGUGAAGCAUCCAAUGGUUGAUUCAAAUCCUUGAAGCUGGUUAAUGCAGCUGUAACUGACCAAUAUCUAGAAUAAAAAACAAAUCUAACAAAGGGGUUAGGCACAUCUGAGCUAGAAAGACAAGCCCACAAGGACUGCUAUAAGAUAUAUAGAGACCAAUAUAGAUUGGCCAGCAGCUUUUCAUGUAAAGAAAUGUAUUUGUGUCACAGGACACAAAGUACAUACAAAUAUUAAAGACGCUUUAGCUUUAGUUUCAAAAAUUAACAGAUCUCACACACGAUCUUGUUAAUUAUUCUCACAUUAUUUUGGAAAUCUUUAAGGACCUUAUUUCCUACUGACACAAACAUCUAAUAUCUGAUAGAUGACUAGGCCAAAUACUCAUUCACCAAUUAUUUAGAAUAUGAUGACUACAUAUUUUCGGAUCAGCAAGAUAUUGCAUAAUUGGGUUGUGCUUAUGGCUAAUAUUGACCUUUUGCUCUGAUUAUAGAAAUUUGCUAUAGGAGGAAAAUACAGGGAGAUGAUUAUAAUACCACCAAAACUGAUUCUUCAGGCCUCAGUCUGGGAGCACACACAUGACAGGAUAAAGCAUUAGCUCAGUUUGAUAUCCAACAACAGUUCCACUCUAUAGCCGGGCUCAGGAAUAAUCAAGUAGGUUCUUAUUCAAGGAGAGACAACUGGGAAACGAGUCAGAAGGAUCCCACCUUGAGUGGAGGCCAAGAUUGUCCUUUUAACUCUUGUUACAGGCUUCAACCUGUAACAGUUCAGGAUCACAUUUCUCUGAGUAGUUUAUCAUAUAUCUCUCAAAUGGUGGGUCACUGACUUAAUGAUCGGGAAAUCAAAUUCAAAACUCAAAAGAAUAUCAGUUACAGUCCCACGAGAUUUUAUCUCUAACAGCAAAUUCUAAUUAUUGCAGCUUAGGGUUAGAUUCAUUAUUAUUUUCUCAUUUUAUUUAUUUUAAAGCUUUUUACUUACAAAACAUAUGCAUGGGUAAUUUUUCAACACUGACCCUUGCAAAGCUACUUGUUCCAAAUUAUCCCCUCCUUCCUCCCCCCACCCCCACCCCAGAUGGCAGGUAGUACAAUACAUGUUAAAUGUGUUAAAUCCAAUAUAUGUAGAGACAUUAUUUUUUAAAGAGUUUACAGGAGUUAUACACAUAGGAGAUUUUAACUUGUUUUAUAUGUUUAAACUCAUUCUGGUGCAAAGGAUCAAUCAUUAUAUAGGCUUAUAGAUUUUUAGUAAACACAUUCCUUGUUCAGAAACUAUAUAUUCUAAACAAGCUCAUUUCUCAGGGCUGAUGACCUUGCUUACCCUGAUGGUUUCAAGAAAACUGGCAAGCUUAUAAACGAAGGGGAGUUGACACAGACCCCAGAGAAAGGACUGAGCUAGCUGUUGCCCACCCCAACUAUUUUAGCCUCUCUAUGGGCUGUGCUGUUUGAUAACUUUUCCCACUUUAUAAAGGUAAUGAUGAGGAUCAGUGCAGGGCAGAGAGUUGUGGGAACCCCUUCUGGUCAGCACAGGAACUUCGUAAAAGAAUUUACAAACCUGAAAAGUUAUUGGCAAAAAGAAGUUUAUUGGCACUAGAAGUUGGUCUUUGCUAGGAAGACUGACUUCCUUUGUGGCAAGGUCCCAACAGAGAGAGAGAUAAAGUUCCCAGCAGAGAAAUCUAGCCAAGAAAUCUCGACAGAGGUAGAGAGGUGUAGUCCUGUUAGGGAAAUGGAGUCUGGCACUGAGAAGAGAAUGCCUUCUCAGUGUGCAGGGUCCUGGUAGGCUGCUUGGGCCUCUGCAAAGAAGUGCCCCAAGUUGCCCCUUUUUCUAAUUUGAAACUUUGGUCAGAGGCUGGGGGCAGUUUGAGUUGAAAUUAGACCAAAAUCUUCAAAUUGAAUAGAAAUUUCAACAGAAUGAGAUUAAUGCCCCCAGGCCUAGAUUUCCAGUAGAAUAGUUGAGCCAAUUUCCAGCUCAAUAGAGAUCGAUAGAAAUCUAGAUUUCCAAUUUGGGCUAAGUAGGAGCAGUCUUGGACUCAACUAGUCCCACCAAGGUAACAGAAUGAAAAUCCUUUAUCUUGAUUCUCUCGGAUGGGUCUCUCCCAGGAGAGUUCAAGGAGUUUCUCCCCUACAAGGAGUUCUCAAGUAUUUACCCCUAAGUUAGGACAGUUUCAGGGUUCCCUACAUCAGUAAUGCAUACUCUUAUAUUUGAAGAUGAACUGAUAAGAAUUUCACCUCCUCCCUCUUGUUCCACACACAGUUAAACUUAGUUAACAAUUUUAGAUUUUUCCUAAGAGACAAAUAGUCUUUGCUAUAAUUUCCUUUUAAUUUUCUAGCAAAGGUGAAAAUACCUAAUUCUCAAAAUUAUAUUUAUAAAACAUAAAAUGGGAUUAUCGAAGUUUUACUUUCUUUUAGUAGUUUCAUUUAUUUUGUCUCCAAGCUAUUGAAUUUUGGAAGGUCUCAUGGAGGAUUUCCAUUCCCUUAAACUUUUUAAACCUUUUGUUUUUGGUAGAAAACAAGACAAUUUUUAAAAAUUGAGAUACAACAGAUUUUAAAAUUGACUUAACUUUAGUUCAUGAGAUUCCCUAAAUUCCAAUUACGUGUUCCAGACAAACGGAAUUGUCUUUUGGAAAUUUUUCAGUUCACACAAAUCAUUUCUCUGUGGGCCAGAAAAAGGUCAAGGUGCCAUUUUUUUUUUUUAAACUGACAGGGCCCUCAAAAGUCUGACUAUAAUGCAAAAAUAGGCUGUUUGUUGUCAAGAGUUUUUAAAGUAGCAGCAAACUGCUUUUGUUUUCCUAAAGUUUCCUAAAACUCCCUUAAAUCUUUUGUAAACAGUGCAAAUAGAUUACAAUUUACGUAUCCCUUUAGUGGGCUUUAAUUAAAACUCCUUUAAAAUUGCUUCUGUCAUAUCUCAAAUAACAAACUUCACUAAAUUAUGUAUAUUUUCUUUCUCUCCUCACUCUUUUGUUCAUGUUAUCCCUGUUUCAGUCAGGGAAGGAGGGAAGGGGAAAAAAAAAGAAAAACUCUUUCCUCUAUGCACUAUUCUCCUAGUCCUAGGGAGGCACAAAUUUAGUUGAAUUUGCUUAAUUUAGUUUACACACACACACACAAAUCAUUUAUAUCAACAUUGCCAUUGUAUGUUGUCACAUCUAAAAACCCAUGUAAAGUUAACAAAUAUGAAGCAAUUAUAUCCAAUAAAGAAGUUAACAUUCAUAUAGGAUGUUUUAUGCUAAACACUUUUGCAAUCAUGUGAUCUUCAUGAUAACAAUCUAUUAUUUCUCUUUACAAAUCAGAAAACUGAGCAGAGAUAAAAUGAUUUGCCAUAAAUUACAUAACACAUUUCUGCAACUGAAACAGAAAAUGGUGGACUUACCAAAUGCAGAGGCUGACUGGCUUUUUCACUUCACACUGCCAUAUUGAGUGCUGCCAGAGGCACCCCGAUUCUUCCCAGCCAGUUGUUUGACAGAACCUGCUGAAGGCUGGGUGACUAGUGCCUCGAUCUCCCUUUGAUGGUAGUUUUGGGUGCCAGAGCUCAGGGAAUGCUGACCACUGGACCUGACCUCUACUCUAUCCUCAUUCCCCCAAGUUGGGUUGGGGAGGUAUUUGGACAAGGUUGUAUGGGUCCCCAUUGCUGUUGCUGCUUUCCCCAUUUCUACAGGUGAGGCAGAAUUUGAGUUUCCCUACAGUAUUUUAGCAUUCUCUUAAUCUGAUCUGAGAUGAAAGGAGUUAGCAAACAGAGGGACUUGGGCUAUAUUGAUCUUGUUAGCAAUCCCCACAACUGAGAUACACUCAGGACUCUGGGAAGUGGAGCAUGCUGAAUGAUCAGGGUUGUGGAGAGGGCCCCUUAUUUCUGGAAUGAUUUCCCCAUGAAAUAGAGGACUCCAGACAAGAUGGAACUCAAAGAGGAAUUACCAAAAAGUUGCUAUUUUCCUAGUUGUUUUUUGUUGUUGUUGCGGUCUUAGAAUGGCUAGUCAGAUUUCUCAAUCAUUUCUCUCAAAACCUUGAGAAUCUGCUGAGAUGUCAUUUUUUGCAGUUCUAUAAUUUUAAUUAGCUAACUUUAUUUCUGUAGCUCCCACAUUGAUCAGAAAUGGGGUCCACAGGAAAAAGUCAGACUUUUUCCCUUUUUAGGGUGGGAAUCGGAGAUGUUAAGAAAUCUUUCCAAGUAACAAAAUUUAACUCACAACAAAGACCAGCAGACAUUCUGCACAGAGACAGAAAUACAGGCAAAAGUGACAUGGAAGAGGAUUGUUCCAGCUUUGCCAAAAGCCAUAAACUAGAAAAAUAAAAACUCGGUUAUUAACAUUGUGCAAAGAUAAACCAGUCUUUAAAACAAUAGAAGCAAUUGAUCUUAAAGGAAUCUCAUUUAGCCAGGGGGGGUCCAGGACAGGGGUUGUUCCUACAUUAUUAAGCACAUUAAACAGCAUAUUUGCUAUUUGAAAAAAAUUGUCAUUCUUGAGCAGUAUACAGUGCAGCAAUAAUUCCAUAUAACUCAUUCUGCUGUGUAGAUUCAAACGGGGUGUUAAAAACAUAUUUAGAAGUAGGUAGAAUAUAUGUAAAGAGGUUUGUUAGCAUCUGUAAAUACCAUCAGCUGCUGCUGAUAGUUUGCAGCUGAUCCUCAGCUUCUUUAGUUGAAUAAUUUUGUCAAUUAUGUUUUCCCAAAUUCAAAUACAGUCUUAUCCAGUUAAUAACCCAAGGUGGUUUUUUUGUUUUUUAAUAUUUUCCUACUCUUUUGUAAGGUAUUAGUAACUCCUAUCCUUUCCAACCUUUUUGUUAAAAUAUCCUGAUGAGGAACAGGAUAGCAAAGAAUCCAUAUUUUCCCGGAAGAAUCAGAAUCUACUACUCCAGGCAUAACCAUAAGCCUUAGUAAUGACUGUGAACUGCAUCCUCACAGAAGACCUAGCAUCCCAGAGGAGGACCCGAGACUGCAGGGGUGAGAGAACAUAUUCCCAUAUUGUCAAUAAUUUGAUGUGACACAGAGGGGGACAAACCAAGGCCAGUACUUCCAGGGGUAGCAUGCAAUAAAGCUUGUACUGUCAAUAAGUUGGAUUUAAGGUAUUGUUUGCAGACAUCACGUGCAGUUCCUGUUGUUUGACUAGGUUGGACCCAAGCCCCAGAAAUGCUUUCCCAAGAUCAGAUUACCUUCCCUAUCAUUCUGAGGGGAUAUUCAGAAGUCCAAUGUCUGUCCGUUCUACAUUUUCAACAUAAAGUCAAAGGCUUAUCUUGCUGAACUGUGAUGAGGUACAACCUUUUGGGUAAUACAAUUUUCCCUCAUAUGACCCAAUUUUUCAUAAUUAUAGCAUCUACAAGAAUUAGAAAAAUCUUAAGAUCGAGAUUUGUCCUGAUGUUGUGCAGAAGCCAUUACUGCAACUUGAAAAGUAGAAGUCCCAAAGUUCUGAUACCUGGAUCAUUUUUACUAGAGAUAUUUUUGAUUUUUUUUCCCCAGACAACACUUUCUUACAAUCAGCAUUAGCAUUUUCAAGGACAGGUUGUCUCAAUAAAAUUUCAGCGGCCUCCUCAUGGUGAAUAAGCAAUUAACAAAGUCAAAGUCUCAUUGGAUCCUUGCUUGAUUUUUCAUAGGAUGUCUGUCCCUGACACCUGAUUGAUUUUGCCCUAUUCAAAUUCAAUAUGUAUGCUAUAUUGAUAUCAGCUGAACAAUAAUCAAUCUUAUAUUUUAUAUCAUAUCUUAUUAUAUCCUAAUCCUCGUAUUAGCCUGGUGAUAAAUUACUUUCACCUCUUGCUUACCGUUUUUUUUUUUUUAAUCAUUGACCUCACCAAGAGGUCACUCUCCUCUGCCAGGUCAUUCAGGUCCCUUGUUCAGCCACAGACUGUUGGAGUCCAGCUCCAAUGAAUGAGAGUGUGGAUGUGAUCGAUAUGUAAGAGCUAGAUGGAAAAUGUGGUGUGCAUUUUGCCUUUAUUAACCUGAGAGCGCGAGUUUCUAUACUCUUGCAGAUGGCAUUAUGUGCAUUCCAGAGUUAAUCUAUAGACCAUACUUCUACAUUUCAGUUUGACAUUAACGAUGUAGCUCUCAUCACAGAGCCAGAAAUAACAGCAGCUAAAUAAUGUGUUUAUCAUAACAAUGGUAAAUAGCAAACUUGUGAUGCCUUGUUCCUUCCACAUGCAUUCUUCAAAAGACUAUCAUUCAUUGUUAAGGGAGGUGGUGAGCUAGUGCUUUGAACAGUGCAUUCUUAUAGAGAGUAAUACCUGGACCAGAUUCUUCCUGUACAUGGACUUAUUCAAUACUGGCCCUCUACGAAAAACAAGUACCAGUUAAAGGAAAAUAAAAAAAAUAUAUAUAGUUAUAGAAGAAAUUAUAUUCAUGAGUAUCCAGCUUUACUUCCUUAUAAAUUGUUCUUUUAUUCUCUGCAGCUCAUCUUUUUUACUUUAUUCUUUUCCCCCCUUUCACUUUGACCCCCAAGCUACACACACACAUAUAUACACAUAUCUUUCUUACUCCUGCUGACCCUUUGCUUUAAUGCUUCUCCUAAUUUGCCUUGCUAGUAACUUCCUACCAUCCAUGGAUCCCUCCCUUGUCUUCUUCUCACAACCUUUGCUUUGUCUGCCCAUCCCUACCCCCCUAUUUCUUUGUAGAUUUAUACCUCCUAUACCCUUCAUAGUAUAAAUGUAGUAUUUUCUAUUUAACCCAUUUCCGAAGUGACAGGUUUUUAGAACUAUGAGCCCUCCUCCCCUCUCUAAUGCCUCUGUGCCUGUUCUUCCUCUGCUCCUUGUUUCUAUGAAAUAAUUACUAUUUUUAUCAACUCUGCCCCAAUCUUUCUUUUUAGCUGCCCUGUUGUUGAUCUCAAUCCUAAACAUAUUCUGUACAUUUCUCAUGUUUAAAAAAAAACAUAAUUAGUCCAUGUUAAACUCUUUGAAAUUGAUGUUUGAUAAUGGUUCUUGAUAGAAGUUUGGCUGAUAGAAAGUCCUAAAAAUCUGCAAGUUCAUUGAAUGUCCUUUUUUUUUUUUUUUUUUCUCAUUUAGUAUUAUAGAUAAUUUUGCUGGAUGUGAUAUUUUUGGCCAUAGGUCUAGUUCUUUUGAUUGUCAGUAGAUUUGAUUCUACUGCUGAUAAAUCUUGUACAAUUCUAAUUGUAGCUCCAGAAUCUUGCAAAAUGUUCUUUUUGAUCUGGGGGUUUCAAAAUUUGGCAAUAAUAUUCCUAUAUGUUAUCCACAAAGGAUCUCAUUGAGGUGGUAAUCAGUGGAUUUUUCAAUGAAUUUUUUCUAUUUCUACUUUCCCCUUGUGUUCUAUCACUCCAGGACAAUUUUUAGGGGGUUAUUUUUUGCAUUAUUGUGUCAAGAUGCUUUUUUUGGUCACAACUUUUAGGCAGUCCAAUUAUUCUUAUAUUUUCUCUUUUUGAUCUGUUUUCCAGAUCUGUUAUUUUUCUUGUUUUACAUUCUGUUCUGUUUUUUCAUACUUUAUAAUAAUCUGUUUUGUUAUUUCUUGUUCUCUUACAGCUUCACGGGGUUCCCCUUGCCCAAUUUUAAUGUUCAAAGAAUUAUUUUUGUCUUUAAGACUCUAUCUCCUUUUCUAGUUGGUUUAACUUUUUUUUCCCACAAUCAUCUUAUUUUUCUUGGAUGCUUUAAAAAAUUUCCCUCAAUGUCUCUCUUUUGAUUUUUUUAUAUCUUGCAGUUUUGGUAGAGCUACGAGUUGUUUCCAAUAGGUUUUUGGAUGAUUUUCUUGGAUUCUCUAAGUAUAUCAUCAUAUCAUUUGGAAAGAACGAUAGUUUUAUUUUCUCAUUGCCUGUUCUAAUUCCUUUAUUUUUCUUUUCUUAUUGCUAAAGCCAACAUUUCUAGUACAAUACUGAAUAAUAGUGAUGAUAAUGGACAUCCUUGUUUCAUUCCUGAUUCUUUUCCUUCCUUUCUCCCUCCCUCCCUCCCUUCCUUCUUCUUUCUUCCUUCCUCUAUUCCUCUCUUUCUUUCUUUUUAUUAUAAUUAUUUUUAAAAAUAAAAUAAAAAGCUAUAACUUUUUAUUGACAGAACCCAUGCCUGGGUAAUUUCUUUUUACAACAUUAUCUUUUGCACUCACUUCUGUUCCGACUUUUCCCUCCCCUCCCUCCCUCCACUCCCUCCCCCCCCUCCCUCCACUCCCUCCCCCAGAUGGCAAGCAAUCCUAUACAUGUUAAGUAUGUCACAGUAUAUUCUAGAUACAAUCUAUGUGUGCAGAACUGAACAGUUCUCUUGUUGCACAGGAAGAAUUGGAUUCAGAAGGUAAAAAAUAACUUGGGAAGAAAAACCAAAAUGCAAACAGUUUGCAUUCAUUUCCCAGUGUUCUUUCUUUGGGUAUAGCGCGAGUACGACUGGAGCCAGAGAAAGGCUUUAAAAUAAAACAUGUAAAGAGAAAGAGGUAAGGGCGUCAUUUUUAGUCUCGAACCUGGCUCGGUGUGGGCAGGGCUGGGGCGAGUGCACUGCUGCUGCAAUAGCGGAGGUGUGGGGAGUGGAAGCCAGUCUUCCUAAAUUCCUUAAGUGGCCCAUACAGUGACUUAUGGGGGAGGGGGAACCCUAACCCAAAAUGCCUUCCGACUCUAACACUGAAUGCAGGGAAGG
ensembl:lncRNA